rnacentral:tmRNA from 1 species
GGGGAUGUAUAGAUUCGACAGGAAAUAUGUUAAUGGCUUGCAAGCCGAGCACGCUACGAUCUCGUUAAACUUGUGGCAAAAAGAUAAGUGCAAACUUAUUUGGCAAGGUAAGAAGCUUUGCUUCGACCCCUGCAUUAGCUUACGCUUAAAUACCGUAAGCCAUCGCAAUAAGCAACUCCUGAUAGCUUAAAGCGGUGUAAAAAUUAUCAGGAUAGCCGGCAGAAUUGCCCGCCCCGCCGGUAAACUUAGGGCUCGGAUACAUGGUGUUUUGGAUAUUUUUUAGCCAUUUAUCUUAAACCAAACAAAUAACCUAAGCUUGUAGAUUAACUUUUGGCAUUUCUUCUGCACGGGAGUUCAAUUCUCCCCAUCUCCACAU